CUCCAGCUGGUCUGCGGGUAUAUGCACGUGGAAAGCUGUCUCUGCUGCUACACCAGCAAAGAGCCUGCACCGCUGCCUUCUGAUGGGUCACAAACCUAGAAAACGGCUUCACUGACCACUAGCUGCACGUGCUUGAGAUAGUUGUCACGAGCUCCAGAGCAAUGUUUGCCAGGACCCCUGCCCUGCUCUGAGAUAUACUCAGAAAGGGUUUUCUGACAGGCACAAGUAUGAAGUCAUUGUAGCAGUGUAACACUCAGACAUGGAUCUUGAUGGGAUCAUUUCAGUUGAGCUUUAUAUUCUGAUAUGAGUAAAUUAAUAGAAGUGAGAGCCUAUUCAGCUUUUUGCUUUAUCAGCACCUUCCACUCCUUACAUUCUCACUGAAGAGAGAAAUAUGGAGAGUGGAGCUGUAAUUUCCCUUGUCUGAUUAAACACAAUGCGAAACUUGCGUUUGAUCUGUUGCAUCUUGGGUUCUGUUAUGCUGGAGUAAUAAUAUCUUUGCAGCAUGUGAUGAGAGGGGACGGAA